rnacentral:rRNA from 1 species
CGGCGGACGGGUGAGUAACACGUGGGCAACCUGCCCUGCAGAUUGGGAUAACUCCGGGAAACCGGGGCUAAUACCGAAUAACAUGGAAGGCUUCAUGGCUUUCUUUUGAAAGGCGGCUUCGGCUGUCACUGCAGGAUGGGCCCGCGGCGCAUUAGCUAGUUGGUGAGGUAACGGCUCACCAAGGCCACGAUGCGUAGCCGACCUGAGAGGGUGAUCGGCCACACUGGGACUGAGACACGGCCCAGACUCCUACGGGAGGCAGCAGUAGGGAAUCUUCCGCAAUGGACGAAAGUCUGACGGAGCAACGCCGCGUGAGUGAAGAAGGUUUUCGGAUCGUAAAACUCUGUUGUCAGGGAAGAACAAGUACGGGAGUAACUGCCCGUACUUUGACGGUACCUGGCCAGAAAGCCACGGCUA